rnacentral:rRNA from 1 species
AAUCAACGCUGGCGGCGUGCCUCAGACAUGCAAGUCGAACGAUUAAGACUUCCUUCGGGAAGUGCAUAAAGUGGCGCACGGGUGAGUAACACGUAAGUAAUCUACCCUCGAGUGGGGAAUAACGUUCGGAAACGGACGCUAGUACCGCAUAACGCAGCGGCACCGCAAGGUGACAGUUGUUAAAGGAGUAAUUCGCUUGAGGAGGAGCUUGCGGCAGAUUAGCUAGUUGGUAAGGUAACGGCUUAGCAAGGCUACGAUAUGUAUACGGUCUAAGAGGACGGUCGGACACACUGACACUGAAUAACGGGUCAGACUCCUACGGGAGGCAGCAGUCGGGAAUUUUGGGCAAUGGGCGAAAGCCUGACCCAGCAACGCCGCGUGAAGGAUGAAGUAUUUCGGUAUGUAAACUUCGAAAGAAUAGGAAGAAUAAAUGACGGUACUAUUUAUAAGCUCCGGCUAACUACGUGCCAGCCGCCGCAGUAAGAC